rnacentral:rRNA from 1 species
UACGAAGGGGGCUAGCGUUGCUCGGAAUCACUGGGCGUAAAGCGCACGUAGGCGGACUCUUAAGUCGGUGGUGAAAUCCUGGAGCUCAACUCCAGAACUGCCUUUGAUACUGAAGAUCUUGAGUUCGGGAGAGGUGAGUGGAACUGCGAGUGUAGAGGUGAAAUUCGUAGAUAUUCGCAAGAACACCAGUGGCGAAGGCGGCUCACUGGCUCGGUACUGACGCUGAGGUGCGAAAGCGUGGGGAGCAACAGG